CUGAAUGGGCGGGCCUCGAUCCCGCG
rnacentral:tRNA from 1 species